GUCAAACCCAUAAACUCCGACAUAAAUUUAUCUUUUGCAGGAGAUAUUCAAUGACCAUGUAGCGAAUCUAGGCGACACAAUUCCUGUGGAGGGGACCAUAAUAAAACCUUAUACGACAUUUACCAAUGUACAUUAUAAUCGUUUUUACACUCUGAUUGCUCUUGACGAUGGAGGAUCCAGAGACAGAAGCAAUCAGUUCGUUUGGGGAUGCGUGGCCAACAUCCCCGGGCCGUUCAUAAGACGCGGAGACACCCUCGCGCCCUACGUCGCUCCCAACCCUAUACCCGGUAAAGGGGCGCACCGUUAUAUGACCUUCAUCUAUUUACAAAGACGACGUAUUUCCAUCACCACGGAUUUAGUGGCCAGUGUUUCCAAAAACAUACGGAACUUCAACAUCACAGAGUUCGUAUUGCGCUUGAAGCUCGGUGAUCCCAUCGCUGGCACCUUCUUUCUCUCCCGCCAAUCGUUGCCAAAGCCUACGUGCCAGAAACCAACCUGCCAGUACUCAGCGCCGAAGUGUAACUGUGAUUCCAUUGGCGUAGAUGUUUGCUGCCAGGGAGGCUGUA